rnacentral:pre_miRNA from 1 species
AUGCAAGCUUUUUCUUGAGACAAAACAUGCAUCGAACCUUCUUGUCAGGUACCACACCCGUUCAUCUAAAACAGGCUCCCACCUCUUAAUUAAUUAGAAGUUUUUUAUUAUCAGACGUGAGGGCUUGUUUUGGGUGAAACGGGUGUUGCACAGGGCUUGAUGUUUCGUUGCAUGUUUUGUAGAGAAACAGCUUUUGUUGCUU